rnacentral:tRNA from 1 species
CCUGGUGGCUCAGAUGGUAAAGAAUUUGCCUGCAAUGCAAGAGAUCUGGGUUCGAUCCUUGCAUCUGGA